GGUCGGAUGGCCGAGAAGCGAGGCUCGGGACUGCAAAUCCCUCUACACGGGUUCAAAUUCCGUUCCGACCUCUA
rnacentral:tRNA from 1 species